rnacentral:rRNA from 1 species
GGGGAAUAUUGCACAAUGGGGGAAACCCUGAUGCAGCGACGCCGCGUGGAGGAAGAAGGUCUUCGGAUUGUAAACUCCUGUUGUUGAGGAAGAUAAUGACGGUACUCAACAAGGAAGUGACGGCUAACUACGUGCCAGCAGCCGCGGUAAAACGUAGGUCACAAGCGUUGUCCGGAAUUACUGGGUGUAAAGGGAGCGCAGGCGGGAAGACAAGUUGGAAGUGAAAUCUAUGGGCUCAACCCAUAAACUGCUUUCAAAACUGUUUUUCUUGAGUAGUGCAGAGGUAGGCGGAAUUCCCGGUGUAGCGGUGGAAUGCGUAGAGAUCGGGAGGAACACCAGUGGCGAAGGCGGCCUACUGGGCUUUAACUGACGCUGAGGCACGAAAGCAUGGGUAGCAAACAGGAUUAGAUACCCUGGUAGUCCAUGUCGUAAACGAUGAUUACUAGGUGUGGGGGGUCUGACCCCCUCCGUGCCGGAGUUAACACAAUAAGUAAUCCACCUGGGGAGUACGGCCGCAAGGUUGAAACUCAAAGGAAUUGACGGGGGCCCGCACAAGCAGUGGAGUAUGUGGUUUAAUUCGACGCAACGCGAAGAACCUUACCAGGUCUUGACAUCCAACUAACGAGGUAGAGAUACAUUAGGUGCCCUUCGGGGAAAGUUGAGACAGGUGGUGCAUGGUUGUCGUCAGCUCGUGUCGUGAGAUGUUGGGUUAAGUCCCGCAACGAGCGCAACCCUUGUGAUUAGUUGCUACGAAAGAGCACUCUAAUCAGACUGCCGUUGACAAAACGGAGGAAGGUGGGGAUGACGUCAAAUCAUCAUGCCCUUUAUGACCUGGGCUACACACGUACUACAAUGGCCGUAAACAGAGAGAGGCGACACCGCGAGGUGAAGCGAAACCCUAAAAACGGUCUCAGUUCGGAUUGUAGGCUGCAACCCGCCUACAUGAAGUUGGAAUUGCUAGUAAUCGCGGAUCAGCAUGCCGCGGUGAAUACGUUCCCG